rnacentral:rRNA from 1 species
GACGAACGCUGGCGGCGUGCUUAACACAUGCAAGUCGAACGAAGCUUGAUUACGGAUUCUUCGGAUGAAGUAUGAUAUGACUGAGUGGCGGACGGGUGGGUAACGCGUGAGUAACCUGCCCUUCAGAGGGGGAUAGCGUUUGGAAACGAACGGUAAUACCGCAUAAUGUAUUUUGACCGCAUGAUCGAAAUACCAAAGAUUUAUCGCUGAAGGAUGGACUCGCGUCUGAUUAGGUAGUUGGUGGGGUAACGGCCUACCAAGCCGACGAUCAGUAGCCGGACUGAGAGGUUGAUCGGCCACAUUGGGACUGAGACACGGCCCAGACUCCUACGGGAGGCAGCAGUGGGGAAUAUUGCACAAUGGGCGCAAGCCUGAUGCAGCAACGCCGCGUGAAGGAAGACGGUUUUCGGAUUGUAAACUUCUGUUCUUAGUGAAGAAUAAUGACGGUAGCUAAGGAGCAAGCCACGGCUAACUACGUGCCAGCAGCCGCGGUAA